rnacentral:rRNA from 1 species
UACGUAGGGCGCAAGCGUUGUCCGGAAUUAUUGGGCGUAAAGAGCUCGUAGGCGGUCUGUCACGUCGGUUGUGAAAACCCAAGGCUCAACCUUGGGCCUGCAAUCGAUACGGGCAGACUAGAGUACUGCAGGGGAGACUGGAAUUCCUGGUGUAGCGGUGGAAUGCGCAGAUAUCAGGAGGAACACCGGUGGCGAAGGCGGGUCUCUGGGCAGUAACUGACGCUGAGGAGCGAAAGCGUGGGGAGCAAACAG